rnacentral:rRNA from 1 species
AUUGAACGCUGGCGGCAUGCCUUACACAUGCAAGUCGAACGGCAGCACGGGUGCUUGCACCUGGUGGCGAGUGGCGAACGGGUGAGUAAUACAUCGGAACAUGUCCUGUAGUGGGGGAUAGCCCGGCGAAAGCCGGAUUAAUACCGCAUACGAUCUACGGAUGAAAGCGGGGGACCUUCGGGCCUCGCGCUAUAGGGUUGGCCGAUAGCUGAUUAGCUAGUUGGUGGGGUAAAGGCCUACCAAGGCGACGAUCAGUAGCUGGUCUGAGAGGACGACCAGCCACACUGGGACUGAGACACGGCCCAGACUCCUACUGGAGGCAGCAGUGGGGAAUUUUGGACAAUGGGCGAAAGCCUGAUCCAGCAAUGCCGCGUGUGUGAAGAAGGCCUUCGGGUUGUAAAGCACUUUUGUCCGGAAAGAAAUCCUUGGCUCUAAUACAGUCGGGGGAUGACGGUACCGGAAGAAUAAGCACCGGCUAACUACGUG